AUCUUGAAAACGGAAAAUAAAAACAGCAGACCUAUGAAGGUCGAAGGGGAAGAAAAGCUGUAUCGAUUGUUGAGAUCUGGCGACUUGUUUAAAUUUCAUCAGCCUCACUUCUAUGAACUCUCAGAGCUGAUUACCAACUCCUACCACUGUUAACCCUCAUCCAGGAACAAGCUUAUGUCUUUAACAUUCUGAGUGGGCUUCAGCAUCCUUGCAUAUGUUCAAUUCUUAAAAACCUGUUGAAAUAAAAGAUCAGGAGACAUAGGAAGGAUGCCAGAAGAGAGCGUGGCCUCACGUGUACCAGCUCUCUGCUCUCCUUUGCCUUGGGACGUUCCAUCCCUGGAAGUUUCCCUGCCCACAUCUUUGUAGAGAGUCCAUUCUCCAAGCUUCAGUGUGUCAUCUGUGAGGACCGUGACCCACCUGGUACAUCGCCUCAGGGCAUUCAUUUCAGGCUCCUUCUAAAUGGCCAAGUUUUCAAGAUUGUUUUGGCUCUAGCAAAACAAGUUGGAACAUUCACAUCAUCCAAUCUUGCUUUCUUUUGUAUGUUUGCAAAGAAUAUAUAGUACACUUCCUUGAUCUGUGGUUCCUAAAGUGUGAUUCCCAACAAGCAGCAUCAGGAUCAUCUGGAAACUUGAUAGAAAUGUAAAUUCUACAGUCCCUCCUUGGAGCUACAGAUUCAGAAAUUCUGAAGUUUAAGUCCAGCAGUUGGUUAUAAUAAGCUCUCUAGGUGAUUCUGACUUGCACCAAGGCACCCUUGGAAAUGCAAUGCUACAUCUCAAUGGGAUUUUCCAGUACAAAGAUUCUUUUCAAAUAACAUAAUUGUGGAUACACACCACUCCUACAGUGGUAAACCUCAGGUUCUCCUCCUGCCUUUUGCUAAGUAUAUGUCUUGAUGACAAGCCUUCUGCUGAUGAGCUGUGUUUCUGGACCGAUCAUGGUAGAAGUCAAUUAACGUGUCCCUCACUUGGGGUUUCUCAAGGCUGCACUGAUGAGGAAACUGAAACAGAAAAUCCAGAGUAAAUUCCACCAGGCCACACAGCAAGGUCUGAUAGAGCCAGGAGAGACUUUAUGAAAUCCAGACUCUCACACUAAUGCUCUAUCAGCUAGACCUCCAUGUGAGUCUCCCCAAUGUAGGUAGGAAGUGCUUUCCCUAAAAUGCUCAUAAAGCAAAUCAGAGCAAUGCUGCAUUCCAUGUGAUUUCUAAUUUGAAAUGCAAACAAUUGCCAAUUUGUUUGACUUGUAUUUAUAAUUAUUUCCUUGUGAAUUACUCAUCACUAAAUGCUUUAUAAAUAUUUUCUCUUUUUUUCCUCAAUGUCUAUGGAAUGAUCACAGCAUAGAAAAUGUUGGCUUUCAAGGAUUUAUUAAUAUCUCCUUUUGAAAUAACAUGUAUUUGUAAGACAGAAUAAAAUCACUUUAAAGAAACAAA
ensembl:lncRNA TEX41 testis expressed 41